AGAAUAUUCCCUGUGUAUACUUGCAUUUUUUUCUAUCAAUUGACGCUUACAAUUAUUUUUGCAAGUUGGAAAAAAAUGCAGUAUUAAUUUCAUUUGCAACAAAUUUAAUAGAUUAAUUAGGAGAGAAUAGAUAUCUUUAAAAUUGAGUCUUCUGUCCAACUGCAAGUUAUAGCUGAGGUGGUUACCAGUUUAAGAAGUGAGAACUUCUUCACUGACUGAAAUUUGCAUAUCAAUCCAAAUCAUUGUGCUUGUUUACUAUUUUUGUAGACGUCAUUCUUCAAAAGUGCUGCAUCUUUCAUAGUCAAGGAGGACAAAGACAUCUUUCCUGCAGGUGGUGACCAUGUGGAUAAUAGGAUCAUAGACAAAUGGUGGUUCCAUCUACAGCAUCACCAAAAUGCUGUUGUUACUGCUUCUUUCUGGGAUCUUCUUGCAUCUUUGCUUCUAAAGGGGCACACCUUUUAUAGAAGUAUGUCCAGGAAUAGAAGUGACCUGCUUUUUCGCAAGUAAUUGCCUGGAAUGUUUUUAUGUACUUCUCUGCACUCUCAAUACAUUUCAUGCUUCCCUCUAUUUUUGUAUAUUAACUCAUUGUAUUUCUUAAAUUUAUAUUUUACUUUAUGAAUGGAAGUGAGGUUUGUGUAUGGUAAAUAUAAUUAAUUCAACCCCAUGGAUACGUUAGUCACUCUCCAGAUGAUGGCAAGUCUUUCUCAGAAGCAGAGGGCCUUGGUGUGCCAGUGAUUUUUUUCCCCAUGUGUAAGAUACUUUUUUUCCUCAUUUGAAUCAGGAGCCCACAGUUUUUAGACAAGUCCCAAAUGAAAUCUUAAGCAUUUGUGUUAUCUGGACUAGACCUUCUGUAGUAUCCUUUUUGUUAGACCUAGUAUAUCUCAUUGCAGAUCAGGAUCUGAGAUUGACUAUAGUUCACCUCUUUCCAAGUACACAAACUUGGAUGACAUGACAACUGAGUGUGUAAGGGAGAGCGAGACCCUUGCACUGCCAUUUGAGCCAUUGUGAUCUCAUCUUGUAGAACAUGUUGUACAAUCAUUUUAUUGGUAUCAUUAGUGUUAUUUGGGGCUGGAAUAAAAAUCUCAGUGCACCAAAGAGAUUUCCCCUUUAUCCACGUUACCCUGGUUUUCCUUUGUUUUCUGUUUAACCUAAACGGGCUUAAUAUAAAAUAGUGCUUAUUUGGUGUUUUAAUUGUCUGCUUCUAUAACAUAAGCUGCACUGUCCAUUGGGGAACUGCUCACCAUAUUGCCCAACCUGUCUUGAUAGGUUUAUACAUGGGAGGCAUUCAGUAAUAUUAAUUACCUCUCUAGACCAGUGUUAGCAAUAACAAACACUUGCUAGAAUUUUAAGACUAUAUAAUCAAUCACUUUGAUGUCAGUUAAUCCUACCAACACAAGAUUAAAGGUUUAAAAAUCUCAUACGUGUACAGCCAUUAGUGUCUUCUUUCAUACUAUAUUAUUUUGUUCAUUGGCAGCUAGAUUUUUAGGUAGAACUUGUGUUCCUUUUUGCAAUGCUCAUUUAUUUUACCUGGACAGAAGGUGCUCUUCUGUCUCUUCUCCAAAGUUAAUUUAUCUCAUACUAUUUCUUGUGUUAAUAUUUUCCAAGUUCAGUAUGCUGUUCUGGUUAUAAGAAGAUCAGUGUCCUAAUCACACACUUUUACAUUAUAUGAAACAUCAUACAGAGUUUUGUAGUCUGUAUAACAAUAUACAGAGGUAGCAAAAUUUGUAAAAGAGCAGACUAUAUAGUCCAUACUGUAGUAACUACUCAACAUUGCCAUUAUACGUGAAAUCGGCUAUAACCAAUUCAUAAACAAAUGACUAUGGCCGUGUUCUAGUAAAACUUAUUUACAAAAACAUGUGUUAGGCCAGAUUUGGACCACAGGCUGUAGAUUUCUGACCUCUGGCUUACAGCAGAAGUUUAUUAUGAUCCUGGGGAAGGUGGAUAUACAUGGAAAGCAGAAGCGAGAAAAUGUAUUCCAUCCCAUGUCAUUUUUCUGAACCCUCAACGUAGGAAGUUAAACUAAAACAUGGGGCAGAAUCUGCUUUAAGCCUUUGAAUUCUUGGCUCUUAAAGCCAGGUUGAGGGUUAUGUGUUUUUAUUCUUUUAUAUCUCCUUUUCACUUAGGCUUGGCAACUAGUUCAUUGAAACAGAGCCAACAAGAAUGAGUGAGUCACUCAGUGAUAUGAAGCAAGCUGUGGUCAUUUAUCUACUAUCUUCCAUACCUACUUCCUAGGUUUGAUAAGUAGUGUUUGUAGUGUAGUUGUCAGUAACUUUUCUCAGCUUACAUAAGUUUAUGUGGAAUUCAUUUACAAAUGUGUGAUUAUUACGAUAGAUGUUAUUUUAUAAAUUUCAAGGUUCUUUAAUACAGCAUGCACAUGUUUCUAAAUCAAUAAAUAUAGCUUACCCACAGACUUUUUAUGGGAUGUAAAGUAUGUAUUACAACAGGUGAAUCCAUUUCUCUGUUUUGGGAAAGCAGGUUAAUGUUUUGUUUGUUUUGUUGCUACAUAUAAUGUUGCACUAUAUAUAUAUUCUAAUGCAGUUGGUCUCCUAAUUCUACAGGAUAAAUGUCUAGCUGUGGCAUUGUUGGAUCAUCAGUUUCGUUUCAGUUAGAUGCUGUGAAAUUGCUCUUGAAAAUGGUGUCCUCUGCCACCACAGAACGGUGUUGUAAUGGAAGUGCCAAUUUUCAUAAAAACUUGUGUGCAACAGGUAUUAAGAAUUUUUGAGGUCGGGCACAGUAGCUCACGCCUGUAAUCCCAGCACUUUGGGAGGCCUAGGCAGGUGGAUCACCUGAGGUCAGGAGUUCCAGACCAGCCUGACCAACAUGGUGAAAUCCCAUCUCCACUAAAUACAAAAAAUUAGCUGGGCAUGGUGGCAUACACCUGUAAUCCCAGCUACUUGGGAGGCUAAGACAGGAGAAUUGCUUGAACCCAGGAGGCGGAGGUUGCAGUGAGCCGAGAUUGCACCACUACACUCCAGCCUGGGUGAUGAGCGAAACUCCAUCUCAAAAAAAAAAAAGCUUUAAAUUUGUAGCCAAUCUAAUAGGUGAAAAUGGCAUUUUUAACAUAAGUCUGACUUAAACAAUUAAUGGCCAUGGCUAAAAGAAGAAUCAAAUAAUGAUGUGUGAUUUAUAAGAUAAGGAGGCAGUACCCCAUUUUUCCUCACUCUACCCAAAAAUCCUGUUUAUCUGAGCAAGAAAUCAUUAACAUUUUCUAAAUCCGCUUGGAAGUUCAUAAACUCCCUAAGUAUACCUUAUACCAGUGUUUUUAUGACUUUGUAUUUUUGAAAUAAUUUUAGAAUCAGAAUCGCAAGAAUCAUGCAGAGCGACCUGAUUUACGCUUCACCUAGAUUGACUUUUUAUUCUGCAUCGUUGUGUUCUUCCCCCACUUCCUCUUCUUGCUCUCGCCUCCCUUUAUAUGUUUAUACAUAGCAUUAUCAUUUUAUGUACUAUUUGAAUGAUUUGCCGACAUUAUCUUCCUGUAACCCAGAACACUUCAACAUCUACUUUCUAAGAGCCUGAGCAUCUUAUAUUGACUUUGGUAAAAAUUUCAAAAUAAUGAAAUGUGUCAAUAGUAUAAAAGUAUAACAGUAUGCAGUCCAUAUUCACAUUUUACCCAUUUUUCCAGAGGUGUUCUUUAUAGCAGUUUCUUCCCUUCUGCAACAUCCAGAAAAGGAUCUUCUAUUGCAUUCAGUUAUCAUGUCUCUUUAGUCUUGUUUAAUCUGAAACGGUUUCCUGGACUUUGAUCACGUCAGUGUUCUUAAGAAGUAAUAGCUAACAGAUUUAAGGAGAUACCUCAGAUUUUGAAUUUUGUGUUUCCUCAUGAAAAGGUUUAAGAUACUCAUUUUGAGCAGAAAUAAUUCAGUAUUCUCAGUCUUCCUUAGUGAAUCAUCUCAGGUGACAAAUAAUGUCACUGUCUCACUUUGAAUUACUUUGAUCUCUUGGUUCAAUUGGUGUCCACUGGACUUUUCCACUAUAGUUAACAUUCCUUCAUAAUUAAUUUGGAACUAUACAGGUAUUCUAUUUUUCAUCAAACUUCCAUAUAGUAGGUUUAAUAUGCACAGGUGACUUUUACCUGAAUCAGUGUUGAUUAGAAAAAAAUCUGUGUUAUUGCUUAGAUGCAUUAUUUAGUAUCUUGUACUGUAAGGAAGAGUUUGUAUAUCAUGGCCUGUCAGAACAGUCCCGCAAUGUGUUUUAUGAACUGAAAAUUCUGAAAGAAUAAGGUGGUGAUUUAUAUGAGAAUACAGGGAAAGGGUUACCCAAAGAGUCUAAUGAAUUUAUGUCUAAACCAUAGAGUGGAAUGUGAGAGACACACAGAACUCCAGAGUUGUGAUGCAAAUACACUGCACAGUGGAAGGAGAAGAGGAAGUUUUUGGUAAUAGUGUUUCAUCUAAUGUAGCUGUGUAAUGUAUGUGUGCCUUCAUUAUUGGAAGAGUGUUCAACAGUUCACAGUUGAAUAGACUGAAGCAUGAUGCUGGAAUCUGGGUUCAGAUUCUAGAUCUGUAUCCUACAUGUCACCAAUGUUUGUUUCUCAAUUUUUGUUUGUCAUUACUUUAAGUCUCUUUAAUGCAUUAGAGUAUCCAAGGUUGACAGUGAAGGGACUGCAUUUGGGAGCUAUCUGAAGACAAAAACUCAGCUUUUUGAAGUUUCUUUCAUACGUCACCUUACAUGGCCUCUCCCAUUCUCUGUGGAGAAGUUUGUGUAGAUUAUUCAGACUACCGUGCAGUGACUGUGUUGUUUAAAACCUAUACAUAUCCAAACUCUGUUUUGUGUUCUCUGUAACUAGGGCAUUAGUCUCCCAAUAGUAAUCCUGCAUCUUAUGCUAGUUAAAGAAGGUUUCCAGAAUACAGACAUUCUUACUUUAGAACAAUGACUUGGGUAGAUUGAGGAAGUGGUUUUAAUAAUCACUUUGAUAUAUUUCAAAAUCUGGUUCAUUAUUGGUGAGGUGCAGGCCACCUGGUAUUAAUGAAAAUGUGUAAUUAGGAACCAGUGCAGUGGAAUCAGAGGCUUGAACAUGACCUAAGGCUUGGUCAAAAGUGGUGAUCUGAAUGUUCCCUGCUCUCUGUAUAUAACUUUGUACUUAGUCUUCAGUGGCAGGGUUGCAGCAGAGGCCCAGUAAAUAUUGUUCAUUCAACGUAUGAAGGAGAAAAUGGAAGUAAGGCCAAAAAUUACUGAUUGUAAACAAAUGAAGCACCAAGUGAAUAAAUGUACAAAUAGACAAGUAGCCAGUAGGAAAAAAAACAAAAAUUGUUACCUAAAGAAUGAAAACCAAGUGGAAAAGGCCGCCAGGGACAUUUUAAUAUGCAUAUUGUUGCUUUCACAUAUAAUACAGUAAGGGAGUAUCAGAAAACCUGAAUCUGCCUGAAUAAAACAUACCCUGUUCCACAAAGCUAUAUAUAUGAGAGUAUUGAAGGUGGUUUAAUACCAAAUUCAAAAAUUCAGCCUCAGUGUAGCAAACUUUUAAAUUUUCCAUGAUAUAAAGUAAGUUUUAACCAACAAUGGAAGUCACAGCACUAAAGUACAUUACUAUUAUAUGAUUCUCUGAUGGUAAUAGAAACUGUGCUGCAGGACACGUUUUGAUUCAGGAAGAAAUGUGGAGUAACUCCACAGAGGAAUUCAUCCUUUCUAAGUUUAAAUCUGAACGGAACCCAUAUGCCCAUACCCUGAAGAUGCAUGUAAGGGAACAACAUGGCUUGGUCUGUUGAAAAAAGAAAAGAACCUUCAAUUAAGCAUUCUGUGAACUUGAUAAGAGGAUGCAGAGGAACGUAAAUGCACUCUGCAUAUCUGUGAUUGACCUUGGAACACAGUGAAUGCCCUCUAAGGAAUAGCCGAGUAAGUACUGUUAUCAUUCCACCGAUCAAAUUAGAGCCUCUUCCUUCCAGUGGGAGCAGAGUGACAUAGACCAAGGAAAGCCGAGGAGAAGAUUGUAGCCUUUUAUUUCUCCUUAUAUUUGUUGAGGUUCACUGCUGACUGAUAAACAAUUUGCACAAAAAAAUUCAGGCCUCUGACUCUUCUGGUAUUUGAUUUAUCUAGUAAAGUUAAUUCCAAGACAAAAGUACAGUUGGUUAAAAAUACCAGUCUCGUGUUUAUUUGAUGGUUUGAAAUAUUCUGUUACAUUGUUGUACCUCGUUUGUCACCUUGGAAUAUAUGACAAUCAUGUUAUCUUGAUUUUUUCCACAAGAUAAUUUGAUUCUAAAAUCGAUUCAUUGUUUAUCUUCAGGAAUUAGAGAUUUUAAAAAUGUCAUCUCAUGUCUCAUUCAGUCAUUUCCAAGAUUUAGCGAGUGUUCUCCCUAAUGCCUUGGAUAAGAAUGCCUUGUUCAAUGGCUGUAUUUUACUCAUAAUUAGCAUUCCAACUGCUUUGGGUUUUUUUAGAUUUACAAUUUUUAUUUCUGCAGUACUUAACUUUCUAUAUUUUAUGUAUAUUAAAGCAAGUUAGGUAGGAUGAAGAUCACUGGAUGAUAUAAAUACUAAUAGCAAAAGUAGAAAUAAGUUGUAUUAUAUAAGUUGUACAUAGGUGUUACAUUAGGUUGUCUUACAUGAAAGUAUUACGAAGUAUGGGAUUUGGGGUGUAUUUUGAAAUCCUUGCCAGUUCUACUUGGUAAAGUAUUGAAUGGUAUCAUGUGAGAGGAGAAGAGGACGGAAACAGGACUUAUGAUUUAGACCUCAACAACUGCUAGGGAGGGUUGGUUUUCUCUGAGUGCAUGAUUUUUUAUAAAAAUGCUAUUUUGCCAGUUUUAGAUCCAUAUUAAACCCACAGAUUAAGGUUUUGGUUUUUAAAGUGUAAAUAGGAAGCUUGAGCUGGGGGGGAAUUUGGAGGUAGAGAUAAUACUUAAUCGCUGUGGGAAAGGAUGAGAUCUAGAGAUAGAGUGUAUGUGGGAGUAGGAACAUAUGUGUCUGAGACCAUGCUUUGGAUGCUCUAGCAUUUAGAUAUUGAGAAAAUGAGGAAGACCCAUUAAAGGAGAUUGUGGCUAGGGUUACUGGUGAAAACCAAAGGGUUGUAGUGUUCCUGAAGAUACAUGAAGAAUGAGAUUAAAAAUUAAUGGGGCAGCAGUGGCUUUUGCAUGGCAUUGAAAAGACACAGUUCAAUUUGAAAAUUGAGUAUCAUUGAUCGUAGUGCUCUUAUUAUUGAAAAGGCCAAAUCAAACAAUACCUUUGAGUUGAUGGUCUGUACUAUAAUUAGGUUACCAUUGUUAGCCCAGCAUAGACACAUGCUGAUACCUGUGAGUUGCUUUCAUCAAUUCGUAUGUGAAGAUGCAUCCUAGUUAUACAAUUUUAGAUCCUCUUCAUCAUUCCACAUUAUAUGUAUACAAGAUAAAACUUGAUGUUUUCAUUACAUCCUUUCAGUCUUCUAACAGCAGUCCUUACGUAGCUUUAUCAUUGGAGUUUCCACUUGCAGUGUCUCUAUCUGUACCUGCAUUCAUUGGCCACGGUAGAGUUUUCAUUACGGCAGGAUUGCAUUUCAUUGUUUUGGCUUGUGUCAGACAUUUAGCAAAGAUUGUUGAGGAAAGGAAUGGAUGGAAGGGGCCAGCUGAAAGAAAAAGUAACAACCUAAUGAUGGAUAAGUGAAAAAGGAAUGAAGAAGGGAUGGUGCUAGGAAUCGAGGGAGUAAAGCAAGAUAGAAUGUACAAAAGGUGGAAUUUUUAAAGAAAGUUGUAGGGCAAGGGCAAGGUGUGUUGAACCUACAUUAAAAUACAAUAACAUCACUAAAGUCGAGGCCGGGUGCGGUGGCUCACCCCUGUAAUCCCAGCACUUUGGGAGGCCAAGGCAGGCAGAUUACCUGAGGUCAGAAGUUUGAGACCAUCCUGGCCAACAUGGUAAAACCCCAUCUCUACUAAAAAUACAAAAAUUAGCUGGGCGUGGUGGCAGGAGCCUGUAAUCCCAGUUACUUGGGAGGCUGAGGCAGGAGAAUCACUUGAACCUGGGAGGCGGAGGCUGCAGUGAGCCAAGAUCAUGUCACUGUACUCCAGCCUGGGCGACAAGAAUGAAACUCUGUCUCAAAAAAAAAAAAAAAAAAAAAAACCCAUCACUAAAGUCAGGGAGAAAAAAACCAUCACUAAAGUCAGGGAUAAAGUACCAUUGUGGAAGAUGUUCUUUUCCAGCUUAACCUGAAGAAUUGUACAGUCAUUGUACAUUGUCAUUCCCUAACUAAUGGGUUAGAUACGAGUCUGUAGAAAAUUGUUUGUCCAACAUACUUUAUGCCUCUUAACAUUUCACUUACCAAAUUUCAUUUCAUUCCUUCAUUUUGUGUCUAACAGACUAGAAAUAAUGAGCUCCUAUUGACAGGGAUAUUUUCCUCUUCAUACUUUCCUUUACCUUACAGAGCCUUUUAUGUAGCAGAUAUUUAAUUUCAUAAUGGGUCUAAACUACUUGUUUAGACCAUGGAUGAGUGAAAUUUUGAUGAAUGAGCCCCAAUCACCUGAAGGGUGAGUAAAAGAAGAAUUUCUAGAGACCCAAUAUGAAGUAGCUGCUUCACACUUUUUUGAGAAUGUUAUGGCAUGACUGAGGAAAUCAUAGAUGCUGUAGACCAUGUUGAGUUGGAUUGUGUAAAUAUAGAUUCUGGUAUUAGGGAACUCAGCAUCUGCUGGAUUAGACUUCUUAUGGUGAAAAUCUUUUUUUAGGGAUUAGGCAUAAAUCCCCACUGAUAUUUGUGCAGUAAUAGAGUAUAGCUCCUGUUUUCUUUCCUGCUUGUAUAGCCUGUGCCAUUAGUGUCCUCUUUCUCACUGUUUUCUCAAAGGAAAACAGUCAAAGAGGAAGCCAUAUGCAUGGUAGACUUUGUAAUCCGGGAAAAGUCAACAUAUUUCAUAGUAGUGCACUUUUUAUGUGUUGUCAGUCCUUAGAAAGGAUUCAUUUUCUCCAUAUUAUAUACUACUCUAUUUUAAAAAUUUCUUGGGGGAGAAUGGCUGUAGACAGGCCAAUGAUAGAAUCAUAGAAUAUAGUCACUGUCUAAUUACUUUCAAUCAAGAGAGGGAACAAUAAAGUACAAUGUAUGUCACUGACUUCAGUGUGACCACUCAGUAUUUCUGUAACACAGUAUUUAUAUUGCUGUACGGUAGAGUUAUAUUUAUUUCUGUGAUCCAGUUCAUUUGUUUAAUAUUGAGAUUCAAGGAGUGUUGAAGAAAUGUCUACUGAUUAAUAACAGAUGGGAAGAGUGUAUGUGUUUUAAAUAAGAGACCAAGAGAGACAAUAAGGAAAAUAAGAAGGAAGUGUUUGUGAGCCUUUCACAUUACUCUUACAUUCGGGAAGUCCACAAGACACCGUAGUGGAGAUUCUGAGGAGGUGAAAACCUGUAGAAAAAUGCUUUAUUAGUAAGGAGCUGACUAAGUUGUCAGAAAGUGUUGAUUUUUAGAAGGAUAUUGAGACAUUGGGUAUAUAGGGUAUAUGACUCCUUGUCUUCCUUUCAUUCUGGCUUCUUACCAGCUGUUGUGAAUAAGUUUAAGAUUUCUUCUGACGUUAUAAACUUCAGAAAAGGUAUGGCUGUUUGUUGAGUUUGAAGUAGUAUCAUAUCCGCCAAAGCCUUGUUAAAUUGUCUUGUUGAUUCACGGUUCUCUUCAGUGAUAAUAUUAUAUGGGAUUCCUACCAACAGCCACCCAAUAUCUCAGUGGAGAAAUGCAGGUUUGGAGGGAACAUCUGAAUAGAAUCACGCUAAGAUGGUACAUUUGCACUGAGACCAUUGUUAAGUGGCAGGCAGACAUGAAGUAUCCUAGGAUUGAUCAAUAUGCCUUAAUGUAAAUAGCUGCAUAUAGACCUGAUUUCUUAGGCUCCCCACUUCAAGCUCUUGAAUAUUGUGUUGAUAUCCUUAUCAAUACACUUUGUCUUGUGUUCUGUGUUGUUUUUCCAAAAUAUAACGAGCUCCUACUUGACAGGGAUUUUUUCUUUCUAUUGUCUUAUGAUAAAAUGUCAAGAUAAAAAUGUAUGAGUUUCAUUAAAGUUUAUUGAAUAAAAUUUGUGAUGGAAUGAGUGAGAGCGAGGUCAUGAAUGAGAGAGAAUAUAGAAAUAAUGGAGAAUGUGAUAUUCUGAUAGUCAUGCAAUAUUCUUUUUGAUAUAAUAUGUAACAUAUAUUACUAUGUUAUAUUCUAUGUAUUAUUUGUCAUAUAUAUUACUAUAUCCUGUUGCUAUAUUUGGAUAAUUUGGGAAUCUGCCAUGUUUGAUGAUGUUGAAAAGAGAACAUAAAAUGUAGUGAUUUCUUAAUAAGGUGUAGAGGUGUAGGUAUUAACUCUUUAAGAAUAUAGUGAUUUAUUUUAAAAUAAUGAUAGGAAAGGACCAUAAAAAUGUCUGAAUUUGGGAAAUUAGAAAAUGUUUUCUCUCUGGGGCUUUCAUAUGUUUGUUCUAUGUGAAUGUCGCUUUGCCAUGGCUCCCUCUUUGCUAACUCUUCUUAACCCCUGCAGAGAAGGAAGUGUAGUGAUGGUAUUUUGAGUCCAUCUUCAGGUUUAUUGGGAAUGCAAGGGAAAUGAGUUGUUACCAAUGGGAGUAAAGGGCUAGUUGCUAUGCCAGUAGCUACUACUUUUGUUUGACACUGCUUGAGCAAUCUGAAUGGCUAGUUUUGAAUCUGGCUUCUCAGUCAGAAUUUUACCUUCACUCUAAUGCUGCUUUUUUUCAAAUCACUUACAUUUACAUAAAUAUGAACCACCUUCAGUGAUCUUAAUUCUUUCCCGAAGAUCCAAGUUUCUUUCCAUCUGCCUGAAGAACUUUCUUUAGCACUUCUGGUAUAGCAGGCCUACUGAUGAUAAUUUUUCUUUUAGUAUAUGGUGAUUAGUUUACUUUUUAUUCAACUGUGUCUUUUUUUGAAGUCUUCUUCAUUGAAAUAUAUUGUUACUAAAUAUAGAAUUAAUGGUUUUCUUUAAGCACUUCAAAGAUAAUCCACUGUUUUCUGGACUCCGUUGAUACUUAAAUCUUUAUUUUUGUGUAAUUCUUUUUCUUUAAAUGUGCCAUUUUUCAUUUUUCUCUGACUCCUACCUACUAAGAUAUUUUUACCUAAGUAUUGAGUCAGUUUUGGUUAUGAUGUGACUCAGUGUGUUUUUAUUUAUAUUGUUUGGUCGUUUGAACUUCUUGAAUCUGUAAAUGUUGUGCUUUAUGUUAAGUUUGGGGGGAUUUCAGCCAUUUAAAAUAUAACUUUUCAGUCUCUUCCCCCUGGGACUCCAAUUUUUACAUAUGUAUUAGACCUAUUAAUAUUUUUCUAUGGAUACCUGACAUUCUUUUUAAAUCUUAUUUUUGGUGUUUUUCACUUUGAACAACCUAAUAAUUUGUUUCCAUCCAUGUUCACUCACUGUUUAUUCUAUUUUUUCCCAAUCUGCUCUUAAGCCUAUCCUGUGAAUUUUCUUUUUAAUUUAUUUUAUUUUUUAGUUCCAGAUAUUUUCUGCUUUUUGUUUUGUUUUGAGACAGAAUCUUUCUCUGUCACACAGGGUGGAGUGCAGUGUCAUGGUUCACCGCAGCCUUGACCUCCUGGUCUCAAGUGAUCCUCUCACCUUAACCUACCCACUCCUAAGUAGCUAGAACUACAGGUGCAUGCCACCACGCUCAGCUAAUUUUUUAUUUUUGUAGAGAUGGGGUCGUUGUGUUGCCCAAGCUGGUCUUGAACUCCCAGACUCAAGCAGUCUUCCUGCCUUGGCCUCAUGCCCACGCCAACCAGUUCUUUAUUUUUAAUAUUAUGUUGUAUUUGAUGUGCUAUCCUAUUCAUUUAGUAUAAGCACAUUUUUCUUUAUGUCUUCAGCAUAAUUAUAUGCUUUUUCAGAAUUUUAACAUCAGGACUGCUUCCAGGGUAGCUUUAUUGCCCUUUGUCUUAAGUAUGGAUUAUAGUUUUCAUUCUUUGUAUGUUAAGUAAUUUUGGAUUGUAACUUGAACUUUGAAUAUACUGUAGAAACUCUGAAUUCUAUUUUAUUCUUCUAAAACAAUAUUUCUCAGCUUCAGCACUACUGACAUUUUGAACUGGGUCAUUUUGUUUGUGUUGUUGUGUGUAUUUUGGGAGGGUACUGUUCUAUAUGCAUUGUGGGGUACUGAGUAUUAACCUUUGUCUCCACUCACUACUUACCAGUAGCAUAACUCUCUCUCCUCCCUGCAUCCCCUGCCAAAAAAUGCCUUCAAUCCUUUCUAAGCGCUCUUUUUUAUGGUGUUGGGGCCAAAAUCAUGCAUCUUUACUCACUCUUUCUCAUUGAGAGCUAUGGCUAUAAAGGGUAGUGAUACUUUUACUUAUUUAUUUUUAAGGCAAGCAGUUAACUUAGCUGGAUUCAAACUCCAGGAUGCCUCGUGUGCUGUGGGAAGCAGCCUACACUCUAUUCAGUUCUUUUCUUUUCAUAUUGGUUGGGUUACUUUGAGUCUGGCCUACAUGAUGGGCAGUUUAGAGGUCAACCAAAGGAUUUCAGCAGAACUUAUACACAGAAUUUCAUUCAGGCUUCCCGUGUCUGAUUGGCCACAGUGUGGGAAUUUCCUCCCACUUUUCAGUCACUACUGAGGAUGCCUUUCGGCAAAAUUCCUUGAAAUUGGAAACUUACAGGGAAAUUCCUUUCCUCCAAGAGUGCACUCUCCUCCAGUGUUGGCUUGCUUUUGGUUGUUCUCCGUGGUUUUAGAUAGCUGUCUUUAUAUUAAUUCUGGAGUUUACAGUUGAUAUCUGUUGGGGGCUUAGUUUGAUAACACAUAUUCCUCUAUUACUAGUAGCCAGACCUGUAUGUCUUACUUGACCUGAUGGAGAAAAGUUUCAACUUAUGAGACAAUACUGUGCUAGCUAGUUUUACUGAUUUGUACUCUAAAGUACCCAAGCCUAAAAUAGUAGAGCUGUCUAUCCCACAUGAAACUUCUCUGAUUUUCACUGUUUUUUAUAAAAAGUAUACAUGUUCAGAUUUCUGUAGGUUUUUUUAAGCAUCACAAUUUUUAUAAACUUUCUAUAUUUCCAAGGUCUACCUGCUUUGUAUUUUGCCUAGUGAGAGUUUUGUAUUCAUGUAGGAAUAAUCUCUUGGUGUGAGUAUCUAUUUUCCACUCAUCCAAAACAGAUAGAGCAUUGAUUUCACUAAGCGUUAUGUUCUAGUUUGCUUUGGUAUUAUUAUUAGAAAUACCUGGUGAUUAAUUUGAGCUAAGUAGUAUUCUCUACCCUCAUUCCCAGCAUUAUCACCCGCUUUUACCACUUCCAAGGGGUGGAAGCAUUCUCCACAAUGCAUUUUUUCAUGCCAGAGAAAAAUCUAGAAAAAAAUGAAUAAAACGAAGAAAUUCUUUCCCCUUGGUAUCUGUAGCUAACUUGCCUAAGUGUUCUUUCCCACAGUUUAAGUCUUCAGUCCAUAGUUCAUAAGCAAAGGGGUGUAGCGAGCUCUGAUCUUGCCAGAAGAGAGAAUAAGUGAGCUACCCCAUGGUGGACAUUCUGGCCAUCUGAAAUGAGUCGAUGCAUGUGGCUUUUGUCUAAAGGCUACAAAUAAAAUGUAACCACUUUCUUCUUUGAGUAGUUGAUAUAGCAAAUAGUUGAAACAGAAGUUUUGAUUGGCAAAUCAGGAUGUGGUAGAUACUUUAACAAAGAGUAGAACUAUUACCAGUUUUAUGUGUUGCUGUUUGUAUCUCUUUCACAGUUUUGAUAAUAUCACAUCCUGGAAAGUGAAACAGAAAAUUAUUAUUCCAUUUUAAAUGACUCAAUUUGCUUUCAUGGUAUUUACAGUGAAAGGGUAAAUUAGAAAGUGAAUGGAUGACUGUUCAUGAGAGAAAGCAGGGUAAAAAGAUUUUAUUUAAUUAAUUGAAAAUAUUAGGGUCAAAACAUAGGCUUAUGUUAUGUUUUGUGAAUUGUGCUCUGUUGUAGACAUUUGAUGAGUCCUAACAUAGAAUUGAUCUAGCUCUUGAAAUACCAUUUUUGAUUGAGUAUAAAUGGGAUAUAGGCACCUUACAACUUCAGAAUUCGAGGAAGAUGAUGUGAAUCUUCCAAUUUUAUCUAUUUGAUUCAAAUGGUAUGUUUUUUCACAUUUCUCAUAAUUUCCACGUCAACUCCCAUGAUGAUCAUGCAGGAAAGCAGCAUGAUUGCACUUCUUUGUAGUGCAUACCAUCACUAAAACAUAGUUACUGUCUUUCUAUGGUCUUAAGAAAAAUUCAGAAACAGCAUACCAAUGUAGAUAUAAAUAAGCUUAUGUGGUACAGUAAGUGUUCUGUUCUGAGAAAUACCUUGAUUCGUAUCCUAAUGUCUGAUGUUAUUGGUAGUUCUCAAACUUCCCCAAUUCUGCUUUCAUCUAAAUUCAUCUUAUCUAUCUAUUGUUAAUCUAUCAGUCCAUUUUUAUCUAUCAUCUAUAUAUCUGUCUUUAUCAAUCAUUCGUCUGUAAUCUAUCUGUGCCAUUUGGCAUAAGAGACAGAAGGGCAUAGCAGUGGAAACUCAAAGGAGUUACCUCCAUGUGAAUGGACAGUGGUGAUGGUGAUCUGUAAGGUGGUGAUGUAUAGAAAGAAAAACUAGAAGAGAGCAUGCCCUAACUCAGGGACCUUGUCCAGCAGGCACUCUGGCCUUGUUAUACUGUGCUUGAAUAUGAAAACAAAAAAAUCAAAAUAGUGCUGACAUUCUUUGUCUUCUGGGUCUGAGAAAACUUAGAGUAGAUAUGAUGACUCUGCCAUUUCAGUCUUUUGUAUUUCCACAUUUAGAGCUCAGUUUUAAUUAUGUAGAAUUAUUUCUCCAGCCUGUGUUAAACUAGACCAUGGAUUGGCAAACUUUUUUUGUAAAUUGCCAAAUACACAUUUUCAGUUCUGAAAGCCUUGUGGUCUUUGUUGCAGCUAAUCUACUCUGCUGUUGUGUUACGAAAGCAGCCAUAGGUAAUUUAUAAUUGAAUGAGUGCGCUGUGCCUUUCUUCCAAUAAAACUUUACAAAAGCAUCCUGUGGGCUGGAGUUUACCCUUUGGGAAACCAGAGCAUUGGCUAAACUGGAACCUGAAAAAAUAAUCACAUCAACUCAGCCACAUGGUAAUAAUAUUUAGAGUAUUAUUUCAACAUUUUCAUUUUCAUAAAAAUUUUUUUAGCUCUUUUGCCAAAUUCCAUUUGUGAGUGAUACAAAUGACUACCAUGUGCCAUUAACAUCACCUAAACAGUGCAAAACAAGCAUAGUAGAAGUAAUUGGAAUGAUAUAAACCCCUUGCUGUAAUAGUUAUAGUUGAUAAAUUAUGUUUCAAAAUUGAACCUAUUUCUUCCAAAUUUCAUCUAUAAAGUUCCAAGGAAUUCCAAAAUCUUGCCUGCCUUCUUUUCCCAGUUAGCAGUAUUGUCUGUGAGCAGCCAUGGUGGUAUCCAUCCUCCUCGGACAAUGAAUUUAGCCUAUUUUGACUUCAUUUGAGCAGUUGUAAUUGUUUCACCACAUCAGAGUAAGAUUACUACAUACCAGAGCUAUUCUUUAACUCAGCUUGUAAAAACAUGAUAGCAUCAACAAUACACAUAGCAAAUGAAUGCCAUCUUUAAUCCAAUUAAAUGGUUUUUACAAAUUUGCUCUUGUUUGUUGAUGCUAUCUGCAUUGCAGUAAUUAAAGGUGAGGUAAAAAGAAUGAAUAAACUGCCAAGUUAAAAUUAAAUUUGGACAAUUUCUCUUUUGCAGUAAUGUAUGUAUAUUUACUCAAAACAUAUGCCAAAUUUAGUGUUGAAAGGCUCAUUCAAAUCAAUUGGGAAAGCACGUAAAUGAACAAUUCAUAAAAGAAAAGCAUUGCAAAUGGCCAAGAGCAUAGAAAAUGUGCUCAAUCUUACCAGUCAUUAUAAGGAAAUAAUGAAAUUUGUGUAUAUAUGAAAUACUUAAAAUAUAUAUAAAAUAAAACAAUUAUUUGCCUUUUUUCACCUAUCAGAUUAACAGAUUAUAUGUGUUAACAAGGUGGGGAGAAUUUGCAACUCCUGAUAUGUUAAAAUCUUUCAGGAAGGUAGUAGAAAAUAUAUGUAAGAUGGAAAUUAGCACUUUUGACCAACAAUUUUAGUUUUAGAUAUUUACCUAUAAGGAUAUAAUAGGAGGUGUUCAAAGAUGCAUGUAACUCAAUGUAGUAUUAAUUAUAAUUGUAAAAUAGUAAAUAACAUUUUUGUCAAAUCAUAAUGUUAGGAAAAUUAGUGAUGGCACAUUUAACCAAUUGAAUUAUAUUCAGUUAUGAAUACCGUGAUGCAUGUUCAAAUUAAUUGAUACAAAAAUCCAACAACUUUAGCAGUUUGUUUACCAGUUAUUGAGUACCAACUGUGUUCAACAUUGUUAUUUCACUCAUAUGAAAUGAUAAAUGUAUGUGCUUGUUAUGAUACGGUCAAUAAAACCACUUUUAUAGGAAGAAUACUCACAAAAUACAGCGAGUUCUGGUCAUUAUUUUAUUGUUGCAUUUGUGUGUUUGUGUGUUUUGAAUACAUACAUGUAUUUCAAUUAACUAUAGCAUUUAUUGAAUUUUUAUCACAUGUACCAGAUGGGGA
rnacentral:lncRNA from 1 species